GGAUGUGAGGGCGAUCUGGCUGCGACAUCUGUCACCCCAUUGAUCGCCAGGGUUGAUUCGGCUGAUCUGGCUGGCUAGGCGGGUGUCCCCUUCCUCCCUCACCGCUCCAUGGGUGUCCCUCCCGAAGCUGCGCGCUCGGUCGAAGAGGACGACCUUCCCCGAUAGAGGAGGACCGUUCUUCUGUCAAGGGUAUACGAGUAGCUGCGCUCCCCUGCUAGAACCUCCAAACAAGCUCUCAAGAAAUGGGAUGUUUGGGGUUCUAAAUGUGCCCAGCAAACUAAGGAAAAGGGGCAACAAUAGACAUUCU
rnacentral:snRNA from 1 species